rnacentral:rRNA from 1 species
UACGUAGGGGGCUAGCGUUGUCCGGAUUUAUUGGGCGUAAAACGCGUGUAGGCGGCCAGGUAGGUCCGUUGUGAAAACUCGAGCUCAACCUCGAGACGCCGGUGGAAACUGCAAAGCUAGAGUCCGGAAGAGGAGAGUGGAAUUCCUGGUGUAGCGGUGAAAUGCGCAGAUAUCAGGAAGAACACCCGUGGCGAAGGCGGCUCUCUGGGACGGUACUGACGCUGAGACGCGAAAGCGUGGGGAGCGGACAGGG